rnacentral:rRNA from 1 species
GAUGAACGCUGGCGGCGUGCUUAACACAUGCAAGUCGAACGAAGCAUUUGCGACAGAUUUUUUCGGAAUGAAGUUGCUUAUGACUGAGUGGCGGACGGGUGAGUAACGCGUGGGUAACCUGCCUUGUACUGGGGGAUAGCAGCUGGAAACGGCUGGUAAUACCGCAUAAGCGCACAAUGUUGCAUGACAUGGUGGGAAAAAGUUCGGCGGCUUAAGAUGGACCCGCGGCUGAUUAGGUAGUUGGUGAGAUAGCGGCCUACCAAGGCGUUGACGGGUAGCCGGCCUGAGAGGGUGACCGGCCACAUUGGGACUGAGAUACGGCCCAGACUCCUACGGGAGUCAGCAGUGGGGAAUAUUGCACAAUGGGAGGAAGCCUGAUGCAGCAACGCCGCGUGCGGGAGGACGGCCGUCGGGUUGUAACCCGCUUUCGCCUGUGACGAAGCGUGAGUGACGGUAAUGGGUAAAGAAGCACCGGCUAACUACGUG